rnacentral:rRNA from 1 species
CCUACGGGGGGCUGCAGUGGGGAAUAUUGGACAAUGGGGGCAACCCUGAUCCAGCCAUGCCGCGUGUGUGAAGAAGGCCCUCGGGUUGUAAAGCACUUUCAGUGAGGAAGAACGCCUGGUGGUUAAUACCCAUCAGGAAAGACAUCACUCACAGAAGAAGCACCGGCUAACUCCGUGCCAGCAGCCGCGGUAAUACGGAGGGUGCGAGCGUUAAUCGGAAUUACUGGGCGUAAAGCGCGCGUAGGUGGCUUGAUAAGCCGGUUGUGAAAGCCCCGGGCUCAACCUGUGAACGGCAUCCGGAACUGUCAAGCUAGAGUGCAGGAGAGGAAGGUAGAAUUCCCGGUGUAGCGGUGAAAUGCGUAGAGAUCGGGAGGAAUACCAGUGGCGAAGGCGGCCUUCUGGACUGACACUGACACUGAGGUGCGAAAGCGUGGGUAGCAAACAGGAUUAGAUACCCCAGUAGUC